rnacentral:rRNA from 1 species
GACAGAGGGUGCAAACGUUGUUCGGAAUUACUGGGCGUAAAGCGCGUGUAGGCGGCGAUGCAAGUCGGAUGUGAAAGCCCUCGGCUCAACCGGGGAAGUGCACUCGAAACUGCAACGCUAGAGUCUCGGAGAGGAUCGUGGAAUUCUCGGUGUAGAGGUGAAAUUCGUAGAUAUUGGGAAGAACACCAGUGGCGAAGGCGGCUAACUGGUCCGGUACUGACGCUGAGGUGCGAAAGCGUGGGGAGCAAACAGG